GACGAACGCUGGCGGCGUGCUUAACACAUGCAAGUCGAACGGAAAGACCCUGCUUUUGUGCGGUGCUCGAGUGGCGAACGGGUGAGUAACACGUGAGUAACCUGCCCUUUACUUUGGGAUAACUUCAGGAAACUGGGGCUAAUACCGGAUAGGAGCUCCUGAUGCGUGGGGGGGGUUGGAAAGUGUCGGCUGUUGGGGAUGGAUUGGCGGCUUAUCAGCUUGUUGGGGGGGUAGUGGCGUACCACGGCUUUGAAGGGUAGCCGGCAUGAGAGGGUGACCGGCCACCAGAGGACUGCGAUAGGGAGCAGUAUGGUAUGGGAGGCAGCAGUGGGGAGUAUUGCAGAACAAGGCGGAGCGAGUGGCGGAAGUGCCGCGUGCGGAAUGAUGGCCUUUGAGUUGUAAACAGAUGUCGAAUGUGCUAUAGCGGGAGUGACGGUAAUGAGUAAGAAAGCACCGGCUAACUACGUG
rnacentral:rRNA from 1 species